rnacentral:Y_RNA from 1 species
GGCUGGUCUGAAGGUAGUGAGUGAGUUACCUCACUUGAUUGUUCACAGUCAGUUACAGAUUGAAUUCCUUGUUCUACUACUUUCCCCUCUUCUCACUACUGUACCUGACUACUCAAAA